AGCCAGUGAAGACAAAUGCAAAGACUAACUUUUCUGACACCUACUAUGAGAGCUGAGCUGCAGCUCCUGAUUCUACCUGUAAUCUGAGGCUA
rnacentral:snoRNA from 1 species